AAAGUUGUUCGAAGCGGUCUCAGGCAGCUGCCAGGUGACCGCUUAGACAUCAGACACCCUCUGUAUAUCUACCUACCGCGUUGCUUUGGCGGGACGGCAGCCAGGCAGCCGCUGCUGGGAAGCUGUCGCGUGGGACCGAUCUUAAGGGCCCCGCGAGCGCCCGUCAGAGAAUCGUCAAACUCAUGUUAAAACCGUGAUGUCUGAGGCUUUACAAGCAAUAAGUUA
rnacentral:misc_RNA from 1 species